rnacentral:lncRNA from 10 species
GUCAUUGGCUCUUCCUGGUUCUACAGUAGCUUCCUGACUUCACACUUAAACUGAGACAUUGAUUCAGACUUGGGCUGAUUUGGAUUUGCCAGCCUCCAUAAUUGCAUAAGCCAAUUCCUUCUAAUAAUCCUUUUUUAUUCCUUAUGAAUGAAUGAAUGAAUGCACCCUAGUGACUGUUUCUCUAGAGACCCCUGCCCUCUGUUGCUCAGGCUGGAGUGCAAUGUCACAAUCACAGCUCACUGCAGCCUCAACCUCCUGGGCUCCAGUGAUCUGCCCACCUCAGCCUCUUGAGUAGCUGGGACUACAGGUGCAUAAAAUGUAUAGAUAUUGUACAAUGGUGACAGUUGUUAUAUUGUACUUUCUAUUUGUAUUUUUAUUGUUUCUUUUUUCAAAUAUUCAGCCUCAUCUAAUUGAAUCUGAAGAUGUGGACCUGCUGAUGAAGAGGGCUGACUGUAUCUAACUUAGGGUCUUGCAACCCAAACUCUUUCAGAAAAUAGAAAAGAACAUUGCUUAAUCAUUUUAAGAAGUUAGUAUUUACUCUGACACCAAAAGGGGGGUUUAUUCCAAGGAUACAUAGCUGAUUUGAUAUUUGAAAAUUAAAAGGCUAAAAGAAAAAAAAUCAUGUCAAUUAAUUUCAGAAAAAAAGUAUUUGACAAAAUUUAACACCAACUCAUGUGCAGUUAAUGCAAUUAUUACAGGGUCCUGAGGUGACAUACAUCCUCCUCGACUGACAGGAUUAAGAGAUUAAAGUAAAGACAGGUUGGCCGGGCGCAGUGGCUCACGCCUGUAAUCCCAGCACUUUCAGAGGCCGAGGUGGGUGGAUCACGAGGUCAGGAGAUCGAGACCAUCCUGGUGAACACGGUGAAACCCCGUCUCUACUAAAAAUACAAAAAAUUAGCUGGGCAUGGUUGCGGGCGCCUGUAGUCCCAGCUGCUCAGGAGGCUAAGGCAAGAGAAUGGCCUGAACCCGGGAGGCGGAGCUUGCAGUGAGCCGAGAUUGUGCCACUGCACUCCAGCCUGGGCAACAGAGCG